GGCACCAUCGUCUAACGGUUAGGACAUAUGCUUCUCAAGCAUAGAAUCGGAGUCCGACUCUCCGUGGUGCUACAA
rnacentral:tRNA from 1 species